rnacentral:rRNA from 1 species
UACGGGGGGAGCAAGCGUUGUUCGGAUUUACUGGGCGUAAAGGGCGCGUAGGCGGCCAGCACAAGUCAGUUGUGAAAUCUCCGAGCUUAACUCGGAAAGGUCAACUGAUACUGUGCGGCUAGAGUGCGGAAGGGGCAACUGGAAUUCUUGGUGUAGCGGUGAAAUGCGUAGAUAUCAAGAGGAACACCUGCGGCGAAGGCGGGUUGCUGGGCCGACACGUGACGCUGAGGCGCGAAGCCAGGGGAGCGAACGGG